rnacentral:rRNA from 1 species
UGGGGAAUAUUGGACAAUGGGCGAAAGCCUGAUCCAGCCAUGCCGCGUGUGUGAAGAAGGUCUUCGGAUUGUAAAGCACUUUAAGUUGGGAGGAAGGGCAGUAAGCGAAUACCUUGCUGUUUUGACGUUACCGACAGAAUAAGCACCGGCUAACUCUGUGCCAGCAGCCGCGGUAAUACAGAGGGUGCAAGCGUUAAUCGGAAUUACUGGGCGUAAAGCGCGCGUAGGUGGUUCGUUAAGUUGGAUGUGAAAGCCCCGGGCUCAACCUGGGAACUGCAUCCAAAACUGGCGGGCUAGAGUAGGGCAGAAGGUGGUGGAAUUUCCUGUGUAGCGGUGAAAUGCGUAGAUAUAGGAAGGAACACCAGUGGCGAAGGCGACCACCUGGGCUCAUACUGACACUGAGGUGCGAAAGCGUGGGGAGCAAACAGG